AGAGUUUGAUCCUGGCUCAGGACGAACGCUGGCGGCGUGCUUAACACAUGCAAGUCGAACGGUGACGCACCUUCGGGUGCUGAUCAGUGGCGAACGGGUGAGUAACACGUGGGCAACCUGCCCCUGACUCUGGGAUAACUCCUCGAAAGAGGUGCUAAUACCGGAUACCAUCCCCCUCGGCAUCGUGGGGGGUCGAAAGUUCUUCGGUCAGGGAUGGGCCCGCGGCCUAUCAGCUUGUUGGUGGGGUAACGGCCCACCAAGGCGACGACGGGUAGCCGGCCUGAGAGGGCGACCGGCCACACUGGGACUGAGACACGGCCCAGACUCCUACGGGAGGCAGCAGUGGGGAAUAUUGCGCAAUGGGCGAAAGCCUGACGCAGCAACGCCGCGUGAGGGAUGACGGCCUUCGGGUUGUAAACCUCUUUCAGCAGGGACGAAGCGAAAGUGACUGUACCUGCAGAAGAAGCGCCGGCUAACUACGUGCCAGCAGCCGCGGUAAUACGUAGGGCGCAAGCGUUGUCCGGAUUUAUUGGGCGUAAAGAGCUCGUAGGCGGUCUGUCGCGUCGGAUGUGAAAACCCGGAGCUCAACUCCGGGCCUGCAUUCGAUACGGGCAGACUUGAGUACUGCAGGGGAGACUGGAAUUCCUGGUGUAGCGGUGGAAUGCGCAGAUAUCAGGAGGAACACCGGUGGCGAAGUCGG
rnacentral:rRNA from 1 species